GACGAACGCUGGCGGCGUGCUUAACACAUGCAAGUCGAACGGAAAGGCCCUGCUUUUGUGGGGUGCUCGAGUGGCGAACGGGUGAGUAACACGUGAGUAACCUGCCCUUGACUUUGGGAUAACUUCAGGAAACUGGGGCUAAUACCGGAUAGGAGCUCCUGCUGCAUGGUGGGGGUUGGAAAGUUUCGGCGGUUGGGGAUGGACUCGCGGCUUAUCAGCUUGUUGGUGGGGUAGUGGCUUACCAAGGCUUUGACGGGUAGCCGGCCUGGGAGGGGGACCGGCCACAAUGGGACUGAGAUACGGCCCAGACUCCUACGGGGGGCAGCAGGGGGGAAUAUUGCACAAUGGGCGGAAGCCUGAUGCAGCAACGCCGGGGGCGGGAAGACGGCCUUUGGGGUGUAAACCGCUUUCGCCUGUUACGAAGCGGGAGUGACGGUAAUGGGUAAAGAAGCACCGGCUAACUACGUG
rnacentral:rRNA from 1 species